rnacentral:rRNA from 1 species
GACGAACGCUGGCGGCGUGCCUAAUACAUGCAAGUAGAACGCACAGUUUAUACCGUAGCUUGCUACACCAUAGACUGUGAGUUGCGAACGGGUGAGUAACGCGUAGGUAACCUGCCUGGUAGCGGGGGGUAACUAUUGGAAACGAUAGCUAAUACCGCAUAAUAUUAAUUAUUGCAUGAUAAUUAAUUGAAAGGUGCAAUUGCACCACUACCAGAUGGACCUGCGUUGUAUUAGCUAGUAGGUGAGGUAACGGCUCACCUAGGCGACGAUACAUAGCCGACCUGAGAGGGUGAUCGGCCACACUGGGACUGAGACACGGCCCAGACUCCUACGGGAGGCAGCAGUAGGGAAUCUUCGGCAAUGGACGAAAGUCUGACCGAGCAGCGCCGCGUGAGUGAAGAAGGGUUUCGGAUCGUAAAGCUCUGUUGUAAGAGAAGAACGGGUGUGAGAGUGGAAAGUUCACACUGUGACGGUAUCUUACCAGAAAGGGACGGCUAACUACGUG